UCAGAUGUUGUCUAGUGGUUAGGAUACCUGGCUCUCAUCCAGGAGGCCGGGGUUGAAUUCCCGGUAUGGGAA
rfam:Daphnia pulex DAPPTscaffold_102_Cont4479, whole genome shotgun sequence.